AACGAACGCUGGCGGCAGGCUUAACACAUGCAAGUCGAACGCAUCCUUCGGGGUGAGUGGCAGACGGGUGAGUAACGCGUGGGAACGUGCCCUUCAGUUCGGAAUAACCCAGGGAAACUUGGGCUAAUACCGGAUACGUGCGAGAGCAGAAAGAUUUAUUGCUGAAGGAUCGGCCGGCGUCUGCUUAGCUAGUUGGUGAGGUAAUGGCUCACCAAGGCGACGAUCAGUAGCUGGUCUGAGAGGAUGAUCAGCCACAUUGGGCCUUGGACACGGCCCAAACUCCUACGGGAGGCAGCAGUGGGGAAAAUUGGACAAUGGGCGCAAGGCUGAUCCAGCCAUGCCGCGUGAGUGAUGAAGGCCUUAGGGUUGUAAAGCUCUUUCAGUGGGGACGAUAAUGACGGUACCCGCAGAAGAAGCCCCGGCUAACUUCGUGCCAGCCGCCGCAGUAA
rnacentral:rRNA from 1 species